rnacentral:tRNA from 1 species
GGAGAGGUGCCCGGAGCGGUUGAUCGGGGACCGGCCACAGGCCGUUCGGGUUCCACAGGGAUCCACGCAGGUUCGAAUCCUGCCCUCUCCGCCA